rnacentral:rRNA from 1 species
UACAGAGGGUGCUAGCGUUGUUCGGAAUUACUGGGCGUAAAGCGUGCGUAGACGGUUACAUAAGUCGGGUGUGAAAGCCCCGGGCUCAACCUGGGAAUUGCAUUCGAGACUGCGUAGCUAGGGUGCGGAAGAGGGAAGCGGAAUCUCCGGUGUAGCGGUGAAAUGCGUAGAUAUCGGAAGGAACACCAGUGGCGAAAGCGGCUUCCUGGUCCAGCACCGACGUUCAGGCACGAAAGCGUGGGGAGCAAACAGG